rnacentral:misc_RNA from 1 species
AAAGUCGUAACAAGGUUUCCGUAGGUGAACCUGCGGAAGGAUCAUUGGAGUGGUUGAGGGGAGAGAUGAGAGUUGGAAUGAGGGUGAACAAACAAUUAUAUUACAAUUAAUCAACACAACUGCUGACAAUGGAUCUCUGGGCUCUU